rnacentral:RNase_P_RNA from 1 species
CCAGUUGGCCGGGCAGCCGCGCUUUAUCAAUGUCGAAAGACGGUAGGGUGAGGAAAGUCCGGGCUCCACAAAAGCACGGUGCCGGAUAACGUCCGGCGGGGGCGACCCCAGGGAAAGUGCCGCAGAGAGUAGACCGCCACCUUUUUGGUGGUAAGGGUGAAAGGGUGGGGUAAGAGCCCACCGCGCCGCUGGUAACAGGGGUGGCAAGGUAAACCCCACCGGGAGCAAGACCGAAUAGGGAUAACGCGGGGCCUGCGCAAGCGGGCCUACAGCCGGUUUUUGGGCGAGUUAUCCGGGUGGGUUGCGAGAGGCGGCGUGCAAACGUCGUCCCAGAUGAAUGGCUGCCACGUUCCGGGUCAAACCGGGGCCAUACAGAACCCGGCUUACAGGCCAACUGGCUAU